AUUUGACUGAAUUUAUGUCAACUAGACUUGGUGUCAGACGCGAAUCAAGUGUUCUUUCUACUUCAUCAAGGGUAGCUGAUGAUGGGAAGCUGUAUUAUGAUGUUGAGGUGAAUAUCAAGUCUUACGCGAACAAUAACGAAUUGGCUGUUAUGCCACAAGAUCGAGUUGCUCGUCUGGAAUGGGACAGGAGAUACCUUUCAGUCCUCGGAGUGGAAAACAACUGCUUAUAUGAAUUGAGAAUACAAACACCUGAAAAGGUAUUUGUCCAAGAAGAAAGUGACAUUCGUGCAAUUAUGAACUCCUUCAGAGCAAAUAAGAUUGCAGCUUGAUAAACUUUGUUAAAGACUCGAAAUGAUAACAUGGGAUCAUUGAUGUCUGUUUAGCUGUUGCUUUUUUCUCCAA
rnacentral:misc_RNA from 1 species